AACCCCACACAUUUCUUUUAUUUCCAUUCUACCUGUCCAUUCAUCCAUUUAGCCGUACGGCACAGAAUAUGUCAGCUGAGCAAACAAAUCCUGAAAUCUAGCUUGUGUUUUAGAUGACAAUGUGACGUAUGCCCAAGUCACCCAGCACAACAAAGGUAAAGCCAAGAAAAACAAAGGAAAAUCAACUGCCCCAGCAACUGAUGAAGCUGUUUAUUCUGAAGUUAAACCAGGAACCGCUCUUGGUCUGUAAGGAGAGGUCAUUCUUCAUUUCCAUAUUUUUUAUCCUGUUGGGGGUUGCAGGGAGGCUGGAAACUAUCCCAGCUGACAUACACCCUGGACAGGUCACCAGACUAUCACAGGGCUGACACAUAGAGACAGACAACCAUUCACACUCACAUUCACACCUACGGACAAUUUAGAGUCACCAAUUAACCUGCAUGUCUUUGGACUGUGGGAGGAAGCCGGAGUACACUGAGAAAACCCACGCUGACACAGGGAGAACAUGCAAACUCCACACAGUAGGGCUGCCCCACCCUAGGAUCAAACCCUCCACCCUGGAACCUUUUUGCUGUGAGGCAACAGGGCCAACCACUGCGCCACCGUGCCGCCUGUAUAAAAAUGCUCUCAAGCAUUUUAGAAAAUUAUUGUGGACACACUGCUAUCCACAUAUUACACAUGCUCAGUAUUUUGUGCAGUGAAUUUGUUGGUAGAUAAAAAAAAUCACAUCGUUCCAUUCAAAAUUAGUACAUCUCCAGUGAAACGUGAUCCCAUCGGCUCCUUUACCUUGUGCACUGUAAUUUAGUUCUUUUUGCGUCUUCUUACAUUGUUGGCUGCUGCUUUAUAAUUGUGCAUGUUUCCGGAUGGUUCUGGUAAUCCAUGGUUUCUGGUUGUGGAAUAAUUUCACCGUUCACACAUCCUGGCCUCAACAAGACAGCUGCAUGGUCACUCCUCCUGAACACUGUCGGCAGUGAUCCACAGCAUGAUCGGGACAGCAGCUCACAGUCCCACUGACACACCAGUCUUUGUUCACCAUGGAACACACACCUCCUCUCCUUCUCUUGCCUGAGUCUUCUGCUCUGUCACAAUUGGCAAACAGAAUAAGAGUCACCUGGUGAAAUGGCGCUGGCCAAGUUUUGGUGAACAUCCUGAUAUCCUUGAAAACUGAUGCGUCACAGAGGUCGUCCAGUUUAUUUCCAGCAUCUGUACAAUGGCUAGCAGGAUGCUAGUUUGGCUGGCGCUCAUUCUCCAUCUUUUCCUCGAUGUUUACUGAUGUUUACAUUUGAGAACCUUGACCUGGCUAGCUAGCAGCUAGCUAGCAGAGGAGAGUUUACAGACUGGUGAGUUGAUGCUCAUCAUCCUGAUGAGACUCGCAGCCACACGCCAUCAUCGUCCAAAGCCCACCACAAAAAGCACCACCAACACGCUGACAGAGAGGCGACUGGAAGCGUCUGUGCUUAACUUGUGGAUUUAAUUAGUCUGAGCACGAGCACAAGACUAUUGAUGCUUAUUCUCAUUUAAUAUUAAUGCUCUGCAUUAUCUUUAUUUUGUACAGUCAUUUUGUCAUUUAUUUUUUGUAGGUAACUUUGAAUCCAAUCUGUUCCAAAGAGCAGCACAAGUAUAUUUGAGCUUCUGAUCGUGCAGCUUCAAAGUCAGCAUCUUUUAUAGAGUUAGAUCAGAUAGAUCGAGGAUGGUCAUUAAAAAUUAUUUUAAUAUACAGUAUGUAACAAUUUGCUAUCAAGCAACAUAUCUUAUUACAUGUUCAUGUUUGCCUUUUGUCUUAAAAGUAUAUUUAUA